rnacentral:pre_miRNA from 1 species
UUUGAGGGGAAUGUUGUCUGGCUCGAGGCCAUUAACAAGAUCUAUGGUCCUAGUUAUCUUUACAUGAUCAUCAAUGGUUGAUUUUAUUUUCUUUUUCAUAAUUGGUAAAUUUUAUGUGAGGAUCAAUAUUGAUCAUGUGUUAGCGACGUCGGACCAGGCUUCAUUCCCCCCAAU